ACCUGGGUGGCUCAGUCGGUUAAGCGUCUGACUUCAGCUCAGGUCAUGAUCUCGUGGUUUGUGAGUUCGAGCCCCACAUCAGGUU
rnacentral:tRNA from 1 species